rnacentral:rRNA from 1 species
GAUGAACGCUGGCGGCGUGCCUAAUACAUGCAAGUCGAGCGAACAGACGAGGAGCUUGCUCCUCUGACGUUAGCGGCGGACGGGUGAGUAACACGUGGAUAACCUACCUAUAAGACUGGGAUAACUUCGGGAAACCGGAGCUAAUACCGGAUAAUAUAUUGAACCGCAUGGUUCAAUAGUGAAAGACGGUUUUGCUGUCACUUAUAGAUGGAUCCGCGCCGCAUUAGCUAGUUGUUAAGGUAACGGCUUACCAAGGCAACGAUGCGUAGCCGACCUGAGAGGGUGAUCGGCCACACGGGAACUGAGACACGGUCCAGACUCCUACGGGAGGCAGCAGUAGGGAAUCUUCCGCAAUGGGCGAAAGCUUGACGGAGCAACGCCGCGUGAGUGAUGAAGGUCUUCGGAUCGUAAAACUCUGUUAUUAGGGAAGAACAAAUGUGUAAGUAACUAUGCACGUCUUGACGGUACCUAAUCAGAAAGCCACGGCUAACUACGUG